CCUCCUCCUCCUCUUUCUCUUUCUUUAUUCUUCUUCUCCUUCUUCCUUUACCCUCCUUGAAGAUCUCCAAGAUUAAGAGCAGUGAUUCUGUGUUGUAGCUGACUUUACCCCGGACAUAUUAGAAAAGGCUCGAGCAUUAAGAGCGGAGGACGGGCAAGCAGGCUCAGCGUCAUGCAGAGAACACACACGUGGGGAAGGAGCGGUCAGUGGCUGACUCUGACAGCGUUGGAUGACUCUCAGAUCACAUAGUUCCCAAAGGAUUUUCUACAUAACCGUGCGGGGAUCGUAGUGUUGGAAGAAACUUCCGAGAUCAUCUCUUCUCACCACUACCAGCUUCCCUACAGCACCUGCUCGUCCAAUUUACAGCUUAAAAGACCUUUUUUUGAAGCAGGGAAUGCACUAUUUCAGGAGACAAUUUCUAAGAGUUAGGGAGCUUUUUCUUUUAUCGAGCUGAAAUCUACUUCCCUGCGACUGCCCUCAAUGUUCCCAAUUCUGCCCUCUGGAAUCAAAAGGAAUCUCUCCCAUAUGAAAACUCUUGAAAUAUUCUAAGAGAAGCCACAUCCCUCCCCCCUUUUCUUUUCUUCUCUAUGGUAAAUGACCCAGUUCUUUCAAUUGGCUCACAUAUGGACUGAUUUGAAGUUUCCUCAAUGCUGGUUGCCCUUCUCUGGACCAAUGCAGAUUUGUCACUGUGCAACUCACCACAGCUGAUUACAGAUGUGGAGUAGAUCAUUAUUAAGCCUCUACACUGAUUUUUCUUAUUUCUAACUCCCAAAUUCUUGCCUCUUUUUCAUACAAAAUCACCCAAGUCUUAGUUGGUAGGUAAUUGACUUAGAAUUUGUGUUUCAUUUUCCCCAUAGAAACACCAAACAAUUACAUAAUAAAAUUACUAUUAGUUAGGUGCCUAGGUCAACUCA